rnacentral:rRNA from 2 species
GUCUAUGGCCAUAUUAUUCUGAUUCCCAAAGAUGAGCAGUGUCAGGCCUGGCCAGUACUUGUAAAGAGACAACCUGAGAAUACUGGAUGCUGUAGGGU